GAUGCAAGCGUUAUCCGGAAUGAUUGGGCGUAAAGCGUCCGCAGGUGGCUGUGUAAGUCUGCUGUUAAAGAGUGAGGCUCAACCUCAUAAAGGCAGUGGAAACUACAUGGCUAGAGUGCGUUCGGGGCAGAGGGAAUUCCUGGUGUAGCGGUGAAAUGCGUAGAGAUCAGGAAGAACACCGGUGGCGAAAGCGCUCUGCUAGGCCGCAACUGACACUGAGGGACGAAAGCUAGGGGAGCGAAUGGG
rnacentral:rRNA from 1 species